GGUCAAGCGAACAAGUGCAUGUGGUGGAUGCCUUGGCGAUCACAGGCGAUGAAGGACGCGGUAGCCUGCGAAAAGCUACGGGGAGCUGGCAAACGAGCUUUGAUCCGUAGAUGUCCGAAUGGGGAAACCCACUCCUUAUGGAGUAUCCAUGGCUGAAUACAUAGGCCAUGUGAAGCGAACGCGGUGAACUGAAACAUCUAAGUAACCGCAGGAAAAGAAAUC
rnacentral:rRNA from 1 species